GGAUUGACACAUCGGUCGUGCCUUAAGGGGUAUGAACUGGUGUAGUCAGUUUCUCACCUUCUGGAGAACCGCGAUGUCCUUAAUUGGGUGCCGCGGGGAACCAGGACCUUUACUUUGAAAAAAUUAGAGUGUUUAAAGCAGGCAUACGCUUGAAUACAUUAGCAUGGAAUAAUGAAAUAGGACGUUUGAUUCUAUUUUGUUGGUUUCUAGGAUCGACGUA
rnacentral:rRNA from 1 species